rnacentral:tRNA from 1 species
GGAGGGGUGGCAGAGCGGUCGAAUGCGCCGGUCUUGAAAAUCGGUGACGGGCAACCCCCGUCCGUGGGUUCGAAUCCCACCCCCUCCG